rnacentral:lncRNA from 1 species
CCUUUUUCAUAAGUGUUUGACUGUCUUCCUCUCUCUAUCUUCUUGGCAGUUUUUUGCUUGGCAAAUCAGUGAAAGAAAGGCUGCUCAUUUCACUGGAAAUAGCAAUUGUUUUCCUGAGGGUUUUGUUUAUUCAGCUUUCAGAAAGGCAGAGACCAAGCAGGCUGAUUUGUCCUGACAGGAUGAAGUGAUGAAGGUACAGGAAAUUCACUACAUGGAUUCUCCUCUAAGGACUAUUAAUGCCUUUUGACUAUGCUCAUCCCACUGCCAGCAGCCAGCCUUUAGCCCCAGCAGGUGCUGUUAAAUAUUCCAGGAGAAGCUUCCCUUGCUGCUUCCAGUGAUUCACCAGCAGUUUGGGACACAAAGGUAUCACAGGCUGCUCACCUAGCCAGGGAUAAAUAUGUUCACCACUCUGAAUACAAUUUCUUUCAAUACUUAGGGGAAGUUCCUGCAGAUCCCUAGCAAGCUGGCCCACCACCACCAUUCCCAGGUGCUGCCCUGGCCACAGGGAGGAUGUGACCUUCAGGAAUGGGUGCUUGAGACUUUUCACCUUCUAAAACUGAGAUUUAUGAUCCAGUGACUUGAACCUUUCCUCUCCAGAGUCAGAGUAAAUUUUCUUGGAGGCAAAGCACCAUUCCCAACGCAGACAGCACCAUUCCCAAGGCAGCCGUGCAGAGGGAGCAGCUUGGCCACACGGUGGAGCGUUCGGAUCUCUGCAGGGAAAACCCAAACGCUGCUGCCUGCCAGGAGCCUCCAGCAGAGAGGGAUGUUGCAGGUGCUGAAAGUUCUCCUGGAAGCACCGAUCUGAUCUUUGCGGUGAUUUAUGUUCAUACGUGCAAUAAGGGUGGGGAUGGCUUUUCCCCCUCCCAGGUCUGGAAGCAGCAUCUAAUGGAGAAAUUAAUUACCAGGGUGUUUAAUUCAGGCAGCAAAUCCAGGACUGCAGCAUCUUAUCCUCCUGCCACAUUCAGGGGUUCAUUUGUGUCCUUCUGCAGGUGAAGGGGUUCUCAUCCCACUGAUCACCCCUGGGUGCAUCCAAUUCUUCCCACAAACACAUUUAUGGUAUAGACAGGGGCAGGGUGCUGUCCUCACCCUGUUCCCCCUGCAAAGCUCAUGAUUUGCUUUGCUUUCCUGCAGGCUCACCUUGGGCAGUGCUCGACUUAGACCACACAGAAGGGACAGGCUAAGGACCAGCAGAGAUGCAGGAACUUUACUUAAUAAAUUUCUAAUAUAUCCUCCUUAACA